AGCAUUUUAAGCAUUCUAGAACAGUUAAAUAGUACACACAUAGCAGGCAUCACUACAGUCCCCGGUUUGAAUCCAGUCUAUCACAUCACGACUGCUACUUCGAUGCAGACAAGCAACAGGGUUUACGUGAAAUGUUACAUACACAGCUGGACAAGAUGGAAACGGACAGUGACAGUGCGCACAGAGGAAGAGAGGAGACGGUCAGACAGAACUGAAACUUCACUGCUUGACAUGUACUGUAUGAUAAAAUCCUGGUUGAGAAUGAAACUGAACGAAACAGCACAGCAAGCAAAAUAAAUGCGUUUUGAUUACGUUUUACUGGUAAAAUGAGGACAUACGUAAAUGCCAACAAAAUAACUAUUGGGUCAGCGUGGUGUGUGUGUAACCUAGGAAAGUCAGUGAAGAACAAAUUCUUAUUUUUAAUGACAGCCUACCCUGGCCAACGUUGGGCCAAUUGUGCACCCCCCUAUGGGACUCCCAAUCACGGCCGGAUGUGAUACAGCCUGGAUUCGAAUCAGGGACUGUAGUGGAUGCAUCUGGCACCGAGCUUUAGUGCCUUAACACACAUGGACGCAGUGAUCUAACUAUUUAACUGUACUAGAAUGCCGCUAAAAUGUUAAAAUAUCUGGAACUUUUUAAAAAAAAAUUUUACAAGGAAAAUAUUGGAAUCGUACAAAUUCCAUCUUGGUGCUUCACUAAUUUUAUAUCAAAGAUCAAAUGGCUGUGGUAGGCUACAAAUCAUUCUAUUCAGCUGAAGCAAGCCCACAAAUGUACAGGGAAUUUAGUCAAUUUUAGCUACUUUAUAAGUGUUUAUUUUACAGACUGAGAAGCAUCUAUUGAGUUGCAAUGUCCAAUACAUUGAAUGCCCAAAUCAACUGGAAGUAUCUAUAACAAGUUUUGAAGCCACAUAAUCCAAAAGGCUACAUGUAAUCCUUUUCCCUAAAAUUACUGGUCACAAUUUACAAAUUAUUAUUUUGUUUCACAUUACGAUUCAUCAAGAUUGAACCAAAUCGCAAAUAAUACAAUGGCGAAGUGAAUAAUUUGUUUAGUCAAAAAUAUUUUUUAAUCAGUGUUUCCCCAACCCUGGUCCUGGAGUAGUACACAUUUCAUUGUAAAUCUGGACAAGCACACCUGAUUCAACUUGUCAUCGAAUCAAUGAGUUGUGUCUGUCCUGGGCUACAACAAAAAUGUGUACUGUUGGGGUAUUCGAAGACCAGGGUUGGGAAACACUGGUUCAAAUUAAUCAACAUUGUAUAUAUCAUUUAAAUUAAUCAACUUUGUAUGGCCUUAUUCAGGAGUGUCAGUGGAAAGUUUUGGGGACAUGACAAAAACAUAAAUACAUGCUAAUAACAGCUAACUAUAGGGUACAAUAUAUGUUUGAAUUGGCUGCCUAGUUAGUCUGUUCUCUAUCAUAUUGUAUAGGCUAUAUAGGUCUACCUGGUGCUGUUAUGUCCGAUUGUCUCUCUCCUUGAGCAACGGCCUACUCGUCUUGCACACAUGCAGGUUAUGUGCAUAAACAGAUGCGAUAAAGUGUCAUUCUGAUCCUGGCUGCUACGUAGAUUUUUAUUUAAUUGAUACAAUAUUUUAAACUAUGCUUAAAUUACAUUAACAGAAAUUAAUAUCCAUAACUUCUCCAAAACUGGUAGGAUUUUCCAAAAAUGUUCCUGGCCUGGAAAACACUAUUUAAAAAUUCCAUGACUUUUCCAGGAUUAUCCAUGACCUUUUGAACACUGAAAACGUGUGUACCUCUAGAUCUGUAAAAGUUGUUCGGAUUCCAGAUUUGAAUGGCAAAGUGGAGGAAGAUACCACACACUAACAUUGUUGAACUUGUUGGGAAACUUGUCAAAGUAGAUGUGUCAAAAGUUGCAUUGUUCACAGUGAAUGGAAUCAGGGUGGGAAAUUAACUUAGGUCCACCAGCCACUGUGGCAGGUAGAUUUCUUUUUUUAAUUAGACAAAAUAUUAUUUUCUCAAUAAUUGCACACAAGAAAUGAGCACGCUUUCUAAUGUUUCAAAAAAAAGAAAUGUACUACUAGUAAUAAGUAAUGGGUCGGCAGGAUAGCUUAGUGGUUAGAGCGUUAGACUAGUAACCGGAAGGUUGCAAGUUCAAACCCCCGAGCUGACCAGGUACAAAUCUGUCGUUCUGCCCCUGAACAGGCAGUUGGCCUAGGAACAGUGGGAUGUCAUUAAAAAUAAGAAUUUGUUCUUAACUGACUUGCCUAGAUAAAAAUAAAAAAAAGGUAUAUCGCUUAAUUUCAUUUUUUUUUUUUAAUUGACCUGCGUCUUCUAACCAAUGUAUGUUAAGAAAUAAUUCAGAGCCAAUAAUAAAAACAGAAACGGCUCAAAAUGAACAUCAAGCCUGCCCUGCCAAAAAGCUGAGUGAUACAGCUUAUUAUUAUAGUUCGAGGCUCUACGCUGACAUUUUUUACAAGGAGUACAUGAGGUGCAUAAAUUGAAAUGUAGACACAUAAUUCAACCUAGGAGAACAAUGAAUACACGUUUUUAGGAGUGAUGCAUGCUCAAUCAAGCACAAACAUUAGUUGAGAAACAUUUUCAGCUGGCACUUUAAGGGACAGGCCGUUACCAUGGUAAAGCUCUGACUGACGUCUUCCUAGAUGAAGACAGUUGUAGCAAACCCAAACAGGCUACCCACGUGAGUGAUAGAAAGAUUAACGAGGUCCACGCGGCAGUCGGUGGCUGGCGGUAAUAUACCUUCAAGUUUGUUGCCAACAGCCAUAUAAAAUCUACAAGAAGAAUGAACGAGGAGAGAUUAAUCAAGGAAACUAAAAACUAACUAGGUUUCCCCAUUUUAUCUGUGGAUUAAUUGUUUGAGUAGAGAACACAUGGUGUGACUGAAAAUGAGUCAAAUUCUACAAAGACUCAGCAAAAAAAAAUUGUCCUUGACAAUCAACCGUUCUCUGUCGUGGGUGAUGUUGGCUUUCGCCAACUGGUCAAGCACCUCGAGCCCCGGUACACACUACCAAUUAGGCGCUAUUUUUCAGAUGUUGUUCAACCGGAGUUUCACAGUAUUUUUGGAAAGCACAUCCAUGAGCUACAUGCUAUGGGUGUCACCGCUAUUAGCUUCAUGACUGACAUCUAGACCAGCGAUUGUCACCCCCGUGAGCACAGUAGGUCGACGAGGAUUUCGUACUGAGGAAAGCUGUAUGCAUGCUCAAGAAUGUGCUGGUUCUCAUACCGCUGCUGCCAUUUCAAUGGCAUUUGAGAACAUGAACACGCUAGCUCCAUUCGAACAACUGCGUCUGCAGCAGAUGUGAUAUCCUCUGUCAUGGUAUUGAAAUGCCUGCUCAAAGCUUCCAGUUAUCACAAAUUGCAAAAGUACUCUACCAGAGGCUGUGAACAAGCGAUUCCGUGGCAUUCUCUCAGCCUCUUUACGGUGUCGCCACCAUGCUUGAUGCUACGUACAAGGACCGCUACUUCAAUGCAAGAACCAGGGUUUACAUGAAAUGUUACACAGCUGGACAAGAUGGAAACGGACAGUGACACAGAGGAAGAGGCCACGGACAAACCUGAAACUUUACUGCUUGAAAUCCUGGUUUGCGACUGAAGAAAUGAACAAUGAAACAGCAAACCUGCAAAUACAUAAGGAGAUCUUUCCAACCCUACGCUUGUCCACAGCGAUAUGGGAACACACAACCUUCUGGACCACAGCCCUGUGCGCUAUCAAAAGUCCUGCUUUGCUAUGCAAUGCUUACAGGACAUAGAACAGUUUCUAAAACUGCAGUUCUAAGGCUCUGGUCUGUCCAAGAAGUGAGGGUAAAUGGUAGAAAUGUUCUCUGCUAUCCAUUUUAUAUUUUCAUUAUUAUUUUGGGUAUAGGGGAGGGUCACUUGUUUUUUUUCAAGAAUUCAGGGACGGUUUAGGGAAAAUACAUUUGCUGAAGGGAGGGCCAUCCAUUUUCAUUUCAGAGGUCAGAUUUUCUCCAUGUAACCCUUAUUAUAAAUAACAUUCACUCCCUCAGGUUCGGCAGGUUUUUUCUUUGCUUGCUUCUUGUUAUACUAUAUCUUGUAAAAAUGUUCUUAUUACAGAUAUUAGUACUGUUAUUUCAGUGAAUUCAGAACAAAGUGGGACACAUUUUGCAUUUCUGUCUUCUUGUAACCUGUUCAGACAUCUUAUCCAACAUAUUAGCCCAACACAUUUCUGAAAUCCUCAGAUGUUUCCUAAUCACACAAAAUGUAAUUGAUUGACAUUGCAGUAAAAUUAAGACUAUAAUAAUGGUGUCCCAGUUUAUCUAAUAAUAAUAAUAAUAAUAAUACAUGGGACUUAUGUAGUGCUUUUCAAGGACCCAAAGUCUUUUAACAAAGAAAUGAAACAGAAAAAUAACAGAACAGGACUCAAAACAAAACACCAGACUUGACGAGACAUGAAUAAAAAGGGGGAUGGGCUCAAAGAAGGGAAAGAGUGGGAUGUAUCAGUGUAUGGGGAGGCGAGGGUUGGGAUUUGGAUACGAACCCGGUUUCGUGUAGGGGGUAGGGUAAUUGUUAGGUGCUGCUCAGUAUGAUGCAGAGAGGAGUGUCUUAGUAGUGUAUUUCUUUGCUUGCUUGUGUGUGUCAAAUCAUAUCACAUUUUAUUGGUCACAUACACAUGGUUAGCAGAUGUUAAUGUGAGUGUAGCGAAAUGCUUGUGCUUCUAGUUCCGACAGUGCAGUAAUAUCUAACAAGUAAUUUAACAAAUUCACAACGACUACCUUAUACACAGAAAUGUAAAGGUAUGAAUAAGAAUAUGUACAUAUACAUAUAUGGAUGAGCGAUGGCCAUGCAGUAUAGGCAAGCUGCAGUAGAUGGUAUAGAAUACAGUAUAUACAUAUGAUUGACAGUCAUCUGAGUCAGUGCACUACAAGUUGAGUGCCUUUCCCUAUAUAGAUUCUGAAAGUCAGUAGUUAACUUUUUUAUUUCAUUUUUUAAAAUAGCAUUGUAUUUGUUCAAACACAAUUCUCUUCAUCAGUUUGCUAAGGACAGGAGGAAAGCAGGUGGGUGUUAAAAGCCAGCAAAGGGUGCUUUACUAUUUGUAGGUAGUGGAAUUAGUUCAGCUUCCUUCCACAGCCUUGGACACACACUCCUUUAGUCGUUGUUUAAAGACAUAGCAAAUAGGGUUGGCAAUACAGUCUGCUACCAUUCUCAAUUGUUUCCUGUUAAGGUUGUCUAUACCUGGAGGUUUAUCAUUAUUGAUGGACAACAACCGUUUUCCCACCUCUUCCACACAAUCUUGACCAAAUUCAAAACAGCAAUCCUUCUCUUUCAUUAUUAGAUCUUCAAUACACAAAUAUGAUGGUUCACUGUUCAAUGUUGUCCUUUCACUUCUCAGUUUGUCUACUUUACAGGUGAAAUGAUUGGCCAUAUCAAAAUGUUUUGUUAAAAAUUACCCAUCAACUUCAAUGAACGAUGGAAUGGGUUUUCUGCCCAUAAUAUCAUUUAAGAUAUUCUAGUUUUUCCCCUUGUUUUUUUGUUUUGGUAAUAUAAUUUAUUUGUACAAAAUUUCUCAAUUUACAAUGUGUCAACCAAUCAGCUGAGCUGGUUGGUCACCUCCUUUGCAUCACUUCUUUGAACUAUACACAUUUUCAAUUCAUCAUCGGUCCAGGGGGAUCUAACAGUUCUCACAGUUAGUUUCUUAACAGGUGCAUGUUUGUCAACAAUUGGCAAGAAUAAUUGUACAAAUACUCCAAGUGCUGCAACUGGAUUCUCCUCCUUAUACACAUCAAACCAACGUAAAUGUUUUUACAUCUUCAACAAAAGAGUCCUGAGAAAUGUGAUCUCUUAUAGAUAACUUUAGGCCCUACCUUUGGAACUUUGGCUUUCCUUGUUAUUGCCACAAUGUAAGGGUCACUGCUACAGCCAGUGGGAGCUGAUAUUGCUUCGGAGCAAAGCUCUGCAUCAUUGGUGAAGACGCAAUCAAUAGAAGAGGAUGUGUCACAGAUCCGACACUAUGGUAUAAACUAGUUGGUUGAGUGAUAACCUGGGUUAUGUUACAGGUAUUAGUCACAUUAAGAAGCUUCCUCUUGAGAGGACAUCUAGAUGAUAACCAGUCAAUGUUUAGGUCACCAAGAAAAUACAUUUCCUAUAGCAGCACCCUAAAAUAAGAGGCUUCAGAUGAGGCAGGUAAACCUGCAACCACUAACAACUGUUGAUGUAAAAAGGGCUUUAUAAUUGAUUGAAUUCUUGUCUUUAUUCAUGUCUUUAUCUUGCUGAUAAAAAAAAAAGAGCAAGUGGUUUUCAAUAGUGUGUGUGGUGUAUGUUUGAGCUAUUAUGUGGGUAGCCUCUAGCCUAGUAGCUAGAUCCUUUUGUGCAUUAGCAAACUCCUCGUCCGCUCAAUAAAUAACAGAAGAUGGCUAAAGGACACAGAGACCACCUGGGAUAUACAUUGUUGUUUGUUCCCAGACCUCGGACAAGUUUAUACAAAAGCCACUGUUCAACCAUGUGAAACGUAAUGAUUUGUUGGUGAAUUGCUCUUAUUUUUAAAUUGUUGUAAUAAAACAAAUGUUUUGCAUCUCUGGUGGCUGAAGACUUCUAUACAUUCUGUACAUUUUAGACAAAAUGUUUGACCAAUGUGUGGGUCAAACGAGAACAUCUGUGUUGACCUUGCUUUAAAAGAGUAAGCUCAACCUGGGGGGUAUUCCUGAAAGAUGGUGUUAGGGAAUAAUCAGAAUUUGUUGGUAACAUAGGUAAGAUGUUUUAUAUUCAUCAAAUAAUGUAUAAGUUACUUCUCAUCAGAAUGGUAUUUUUGUAUAAUACUGUGGCGAGGUUGCAGUUAUCUGUUCUAUGUCAAGACUAAGUUGCAUGGGCCGCAGAGAGGGGAGAGGUCAAAGUGUCAUCAUGUGUAAACAUAUCUUUUCCUCCACAAUGUCUGUGUACCAGUCAGUGUGUCUCUGUGAGUUUGUCCAGGAUUGGUUGUAUUUAGAAUUGGUUCUAUCUAAAUGACAAUUUGAUAUAUAUCAUAGGGUGGGGGUAAUGUCAUGGUACCAUUUUGUACCAAGGACGAGAUAAGAGCUUUGUUUAGGAGACCAAACUGAACGAUAAUUUAUAGCCAACUCUGUCUGGCUAGGGGAUACUCCUCUCUGAAGUAAAGUCUUUCUUUGUGUAAGUUCCUAAGACCUGUGGUUUGUCAUGUCGUCUAGGAGGGGGUGGAUCUUUGCUAUAAAGGAACCCAUUUGCCAUUAUGUUGGGGACUCUCAACUUUUCAUUAGAGAUACUGAACUGUUGAAAGUCAAAAUGCUAUAGAGCUUAUAUAAUUAAAGAUGGACUUUGAUAACUAA